AUUGAACGCUGGCGGCAGGCCUAACACAUGCAAGUCGAACGAGUGGCGGACGGGUGAGUAAUGUCUGGGAAACUGCCUGAUGGAGGGGGAUAACUACUGGAAACGGUAGCUAAUACCGCAUACCAUCAGAUGUGCCCAGAUGGGAUUAGCUGGUUGGUGGGGUAACGGCUCACCUAGGCGACGAUCCCUAGCUGGUCUGAGAGGAUGACCAGCCAAACUGGAACUGAGACACGGUCCAGACGCCUACGGGAGGCAGCAGUGGGGAAUAUUGGACAAUGGGCGCAAGCCGGAUACAGCCAUGCCGCGUGUAUGAAGAAGGCCUUCGGGGUGUAAAGUACUUUCAGCGGGGAGGCGUUACCUGCAGAAGAAGCACCGGCUAACUACGUGCCAGCAGCCGCGGUAAUUC
rnacentral:rRNA from 1 species